UAGGGAAUUUUCGGCAAUGGGGGCAACCCUGACCGAGCAACGCCGCGUGAGUGAUGAAAGUCUUCGGAUCGUAAAACUCUGUUGUUAGAGAAGAACGUGUGUGAGAGUAACUGUUCAUGCAGUGACGGUAUCUAACCAGAAAGCCACGGCUAACUACGUGCCAGCAGCCGCGGUAAUACGGAAGGUCCGGGCGUUAUCCGGAUUUAUUGGGCGUAAAGGGCGUGCAGGCGGCCAGGCAAGUCUGUCUUAAAAGUGCGGGGCUUAACCCCGUGAUGGGAUGGAAACUGUCAGGCUAGAGUGUCGGAGAGGAAAGCGGAAUUCCUAGUGUAGCGGUGAAAUGCGUAGAUAUUAGGAGGAACACCAGUGGCGAAAGCGGCUUUCUGGACGACAACUGACGCUGAGGCGCGAAAGCCAGGGGAGCAAACGGGAUUAGAUACCCCGGUAGUCCUGGCCGUAAACGAUGGGUACUAGGUGUAGGAGGUAUCGACCCCUUCUGUGCCGGAGUUAACGCAAUAAGUAUCCCGCCUGGGGAGUACGGCCGCAAGGCUG
rnacentral:rRNA from 1 species